CGUCCAUCCAUCUGUCAAAAAGGCAAGGCCAGAGCUUCUCUUCCGCCUCUUCCGGCAUCAGCAUCAGACAAGAGUCCAAAGUGCGGCUUGUGGCGGGAGAACCCCGCCAACGACUUCUGCUACCUGAUCAACGACAUGGCCACCAAGACCUGGAAGGA